rnacentral:rRNA from 1 species
GAUGAACGCUGGCGGCGUGCCUAAUACAUGCAAGUCGAGCGAACAGACGAGGAGCUUGCUCCUCUGACGUUAGCGGCGCACGGGUGAGUAACACGUGUAUACCCUACCUAUAAGACUGGGAUAAUUUCGGGAAACCGGAUCUAAUACCGGAUAAUAUAUUGAACCGUAUGGUUCAAUAGUGAAAGACGGUUUUGCUGUCACUUAUAGAUGGAUCCGCGCCGCAUUAGCUAGUUGGUAAGGUAACGGCUUACCAAGGCUACGAUGCGUAGCCGACCGGAGAGGGUGAUAGGCCGCCCUGGAACUGAGACGCGGUCAAGACUCCUACGGGAGGCAGCAGUAGGGAAUGUGCCGCAAUGGGCGGAAGCCUGACGGAGCAACGCCACGUGAGUGAUGAAGGUCUUCGGAUCGUAAAACUCUGUUAUUAGGGAAGAACAGAUGUGUAAGUAACUAUGCACGUCUUGACGGUACCUAAUCAGAAAGCAACGGCUAACUACGUG